UGGACGUGUCAAUGGAUGGGUCCCUGUACUUUGCACUGCCUCAAAUGCUUUUCUCCGUUCUCUCCAUAAACCCACCGCCUCAGGUAACUUUCUUCUCACAAAGGAAGAGGGUGAAGCCAGUAGAUGUGUCGCUGUUGUCGGUCCAGAAAGAAAUCACGACGGGCGAUGAAGACGACGAUCGAUCGGCUUCCGAUAUUGACUCUGAGUCGGGAUCGGAGUCGGGGUCGGGGGAAAUCAGUGUGUUCUUCAGAUGAUGUGACCGCCAUAGAAGACACCACCAUCGCCUUCUGCUUCUCAGGAAGAUUCCGCCGGCUUCUUCGAUGUUAUGGGCCCGUAACCUCCGUCAUUUCAUCGAAUCUGGUGUUUGUCUUAGCUCUGAAGCUUUAAUGGGAUUUUGAAAUCCCCGGCGUUGGUGGUAGAGCACAACACACCGCCUCCCUUCUUUCAAUCAGAUGGUGUUCUGCUGCUCGCUUCCUUUUCUUCCGCGUCCGGUUUUUUAAUCUCGGAUCAGGUCCUUGCACAAAUAAAUUUUGUCUUCAGGUGGAGUUUGAAAGAUUACACGCCAAGUGUUCGAUGAAAGUACUCAAAUACUUCAACUGGUGUUGUGGGUUGAAGAACAACCAUAGUGUUGACUACAACUAAAAACAUACAAAAAGGUAGUCAUAUGGUUUAUCAGCUUUCUUUCAAAAAAUAAAAAGUUUUAGUUUUCUUACUAACAAAUCCCACCCCGCAAGGGUAUUUCGCCAUUUGACUAAAAAUACACAAUACAUAUAUAUACCCUUUCUUAUCAUUACAAAGUUUUAUGAUGGCACAGCAAUUAUUGCAUUACACUUUCAUCUAAAAGCUGUAAUUAAAGUAAUUUAAGGUGUCGUCAGUGCUAGAUUCCCUGUUCAACCACCAGAUCUUGAGGGACUGAAGAAAGGAUGCUUUGGGGAAAUAUGUUUCCUUUACAAAGUGGUGAUUGUCCCAAGAGUUUCAAGGGGUUUAAUGCAAAAAUACAUUCCUGGUGAUAUUCUCAGAAAUUUCUCUUUUAUGCUAGAAAAUGCAGUCAUCAUGGGCCAAAAUUGCCAUUGUUUGGAAGCAAUCUUCGAGUGCAUUGACAUCCAUGUUACAAAUAUUACGCUUUCCCAUGGUAAAAAAGUCAAACAUAAUAAUAGAAGUCCAGAAGGUGGCCGAUAUAUGAGCUCCCCAACCACUACACUACCAAAUACAAAACCCUCUGAUGUAAUCCUACAACAUACAAACCGGCAGAUACACGGAUACUUAUCAGAGCAAGCAGACAUGAUUGAAAAUUCUUUGACCAUGGAAUGCAUGGACAAAGGAGAGAAUUGGCUGGAAAGCUAUUGGGACAUAUUUUGACACUUACUCUUCAAAUGUAUGGCUGUCAACUUAUUUAAAAGGGUGUAAGCUCUUGAGUUGGGAAUGGUGGCCCUGGUUUGAUUAUAUGCUUCACAUAACGAACAACAACCUUGACUACAAAAUUGGUUUCAUAGACAAAACGCAACCACAUUAUAAUCAAAAAGUCAAAAUCGUCAUUUGGAGUUGUACUUUGGUAAAGAGGUGUUGUUACAAAAACUUUAUUAAUAAUUGUUGCUGCCGCACUUGCUAUUUGCUUUGCAACACAAAGGGGUCAUUAUAUUAUAGCAUAGUGCAACAUAUUUGUGUGUUUGUAAAUGGGCAGAACGUACACAAUAGCAACAUACUUUAUUGUAUUUACCAAUUAGAACAAUGUAAUAUACUUCCACACAAAAGCAACACCUUCCGACCCCCACAACGCGGGGGUUACCUUUCUAGUUAUCUUUAAUUAUUAAGAUCCAAAACAAAUUUAAAAAUUUUAAAUCCGACAAUCGAAGAAAAACGAAAAAAAAAAGUAAAAGAAAAACAACGUAAAAAAAUUAGUAUGUCUAGAUUCGUAUAAAUGAAAAAAAAAUUAUUAUUAUUAAUAAUAUUGAAAAAUACAUACAAGAUUAUGAUAAUAAUAUUAAAAGAAGAAAAAAAAACCAGUGAGAUGCCUUUAAUGAUUGAGUCCGAAAAAGAAUAAAAAAAUGAUUUUUCAACUUGAUUUUAUGCUGCACAGUGGAAGUGUCUAGGCCUCACGAUUUGAUUAUGCAUCCAACCAUCUGGGUACCGAAAUAUAUCUACGCACCACUAUUCAAUCCAAAAAUGUGGAAGUGGCCCACACGGCUCACAACAUUUGGCCCAAAACACGGAAGUGGUACAGUUUUGACGGCAGAACAUAUGUUCCAAUUGUUAAUUAGUUUCGAUUAUAUAUAUAUAUAUAUAUAUAUAUAUAUAUAUAUAUAUAUAUAUAUAUAUAUAUAUAUACCUUAAUAAGCAUUUAACAUGUUUUGCUGAAUUUUAAGAGGUGCAACUCAUAUUACAAGAUAUACAAGCAUUUUAUGCAUUGAAAACAUAAAGGUAUUACUUGGUCAAAAUACUUGUUAAAACCUCGACCCCUGUUAACUCGGUCCCAUUCCCUAUCCUGUUCAACAACCUUCCCACUACCAACUAUAUCGCCCAUUAUAUCGCCCUUUCUUUUGCCCUACAAUGCUACUUACUCCUUUCUUUCCUUUGUACUUUCUUUCUCAUGACGAGCUAGGUUGUCGCACACCCUUCAAUCGACGACCACUUGUUUCUUCUCAUCCCCCCCUCAACUCUCUCUCUCUCUCUCUCUCUCUCUCUCUCUCUAACGUCGAGUCAGUCACCACUACAAUAAUCACCACCGUACCUCUUGGAACCAUAGCCUCACCACAACGCUACCACCAUCACUUUCUUUUGUUUACCGGGUUUGUAUUGAUGACUUUGUUGGAUAAAAGAGUCAUCUCUCUCUCUCUCUCUCUCUCUCUCUCUCUCUCUCUCUCCCAUCAUCAUGUUUAUCACCUAGAUCUACGAUCUGUUGUAUACCUUUUCCAACAAAUAUAGUUGAAGUAGAAUUCAUAGAUUCUCUGAUUUCGUUAUUUUAUCGUUUUGAGUGAUCCAGUUGAAGGAGGGCCUCUGCUCCCUCUUGCUUCUUUUCAUUAGAGACAAUGGUGCUAAAUUCUUACCUCGUAGUCUUGACAAAGGAUGUUAGAGGAGAACUGGUGCAAUUCAGAGUUCAGAGCAAGCAUGAUUAUAUCUCUAUGAAGCGGGGCACAUUUUUGGGGUACAUAAUUAUAUCGGUCGGCAACCUGCUACACAACUGCUUUUCUUUCUAAAAUCAUAGACAUCGUUGCUGCUCUUUUCUGUUUAUAUGCUAUCUUGUAUGUGUUAUUUCUUAGAUUGGUUGACAUACUCCAUGAGAGGGUAAAAAACUGCUAUUACUCAUACAACCUAUUUUUUGACGAAAAUGUCCUUAUAAACUUGUGUAUUAUGUGUACAGGAAAUAGAGAGUUUGCUUGAAAGGGGAAGACAAUAUAAAACUAAAAAUAAUUGUGUAUUUUAUUUAUUGAGAUUAAUUUGGACUCUAGAUAUGAAAUAUGUUAUUAUCUCGACCUUUUGUAUUUUUUUUAGGUUAAUGAGUAUAGUUCUCAGAAAUAGCUUGACUGGAAGAGACAAAAUCAGCUUAGCAAACACUACUUCAGUCCUUAGGCCUACCGGUAUGCUCUCCACGAACGGAUCCGUGGUUGAGGUGGCAACGAACAACGGCCGUGCACACCAGCCCGGCCGUUCGUGGUUGAGGUUUUUCGUGGUGUUUCGUGGUGGGCAUCACGAGUGUAAACGAACAAUAGUCGUCUUCUUCUCUCCCAGCUUCCUCUUCUCUCUCUUCUGUAUUUCUCUUCUCUCUUUUCUUUCCGGUGGUGGUGAGUAUACCGGUGGUUCAUGGUGGCCUGAGGUGGCUGACUUGGAAGCUCUCCACGACCGUUGUCGUGGAGAGUAUAAUGGAUGGUCUUAUAAGACAUUAAAUUAAAAUUAAUAUGUGUAAAUAAAUUACUAACCCUUAUCAAAUCUCUAGGGGAUAUUAAAUUUUAAAAGCUAAAAAGUUCAUAGCUUUUUAGAAUAUUGAGUUCGUUUGAUCCAAUUUGGAAUAUGUAAGCAAUGGGUAUUUGUUUUUACUUUAUUGCUCUUUUUCAGUUAAUGUCAACUAAUGCAAUUUUUUAUUUUCUGAUUAGUCAGAAAUUAUCUUAGCUUUCGUGGUUAUGGACAUAUUUGGCAUCAAGGAUGAUCAGGGUUUUUGUUGAAGUUAUCAUUUUUAUAAACCCACAUGAAAGGUACAAAUGUUUAUUGAUUACCAUAUAGCGUUAAAUGUAAGAAAUAAUGGUUUAUUUCUGUGGAUGUGUUUAUAAUUGCAUCAUACUUUCGUUUUAUAAUAAGAACUAAAUUGCAACUAUAACACUAUAAUUGUACUAAAAAGAAAUGGAAGUAGGAUACUUUAAUACACAUAUAAAUAAAAGUAUGUUUCUCUUUCUUGCAUUUAUCCCUCGUAUUUAAUGUAAGAAACAACAAUAUAUUUUUGUUGAUUUGUUUAUUAUAGCAUCCUACUUUUGUUUCUUUCUAUUUAAGCCUUCAUUUUUAAAUCUUAAGCUUUUGAAGAAAAGAAAUUAUGUUGUCAUAAAUGGGUAGAUCUGUAGAUAUAACAAUGGAAUUCAAUUUACCAAAAGUUAUAGAAAAAAAAAAUUCAAAUUUCCUUUUUUGUUGUUAGAUGGUAGCAUAAAUUAGAGCACUCCAGGUUUAUUCCGUGUCCAUUUAGGUUAGACUUCUUCAUCCAUUUGAAUCUUGACUUUUUUUGAUAUUUUUAUAAUGUUCAUAUUCAUAUUUCAGCAACCAGCUUCCACUAAAGAUAAAGUUAACAGUAAGAUAUAUAGCGAGAAGAAGAUGACGGUAAUGUUCCUUAUGCAUGUUCAAAGGUCAUAGUGCUUGUGUAUCUGGCUUGCAAUAGGUAAACCCAAAAUAAUUCUUUAAAAUUUCUACAAAUCUAUUUAAUUUUCAAUGAUUUAUUAUUAUCUUUUAGAUUGAAAGAGAAGUGGUAAUUCCUAAAACCGAAACAGUCACAUCCUGCACCCCCCCCCCCCCCCCCCCCCCCCCCCCCCCCCAAAUCACACACACGACAAGUUUUGACGUUGAAUAUAAUUCUUUUAAAUGAGUAAAUCAUGGGAAAUUACUAGGAUACCCUCAUAGAUAUCUUCAUUGUAUUUAAUGUGUCUAGAAAACUUCCAAAUUCUUUCUUAGAAGUCUGAUAUUUGUAUGGUUGAAGGUAACAUUCAUUGAUUGAUGUGGCUCAUAUAGGUAAAGAAAAUGGUAGUUCCUAUAAUUAUUAAGUCCGACAUUAAUCUUGCAAAUGAUGUCAUAAAGUACAUCAUCAGUAGCGUGGGGAAGAAUGUAAAGUUAUGUCAUACAUCCACUUACAAAAUCAGUAAUCCCAAGAAACGGUGGAAUAAGUACUUUUUGCAGAAGCGAUUUAUUUUUUCAAUAUUUUGAUGUUUAUAAUGUUUAAUAGUUUUGUUUCUUAAAUGUUGUGCAGAUGAAACGCAUCUAAAACAAAGUGUUUGUAUAGUGGUCUUUUAAUAUGUUUUUUUUUUCAUGUGAACUAAAUAUCUGAUUUGUAGAGACAUUUCUUAAAAUCAUAUCACCGAUGAAAUCCAAUACAAUAUUAGGGUCUUUCAAA